AUUCCAGCUCCAAUAGCGUAUACUAAAGUUGUUGCAGUUAAAAAGCUCGUAGUUGAAUUUCUGGUCGUGGCGAUCGGUCCGCCCCUCACGGGGUGUGCACCUGGUCUCUACGUCCAUCCUCGGGGAGAGCGCGUCUGGCAUUCAGUUGUCGGGCGCGGGAUCCUCGUCAUUUACUGUGAGCAAAAUAGAGUGUUCAAAGCAGGCUUAGGCCGUUGAAUACAUUAGCAUGGAAUAAUAAGAUAGGACCUUGGUCUAUUUUGUUGGUUUGCAUUCCAAGGUAAUGAUUAAUAGGGAUAGUUGGGGGUAUUCGUAUUCAAUUGUCAGAGGUGAAAUUCUUGGAUUUAUGGAAGACGAACUACUGCGAAAGCAUUUACCAAGGAUGUUUUCAUUA
rnacentral:rRNA from 1 species